rnacentral:lncRNA from 1 species
GUUUUGGUGAGCGAAGAGGCGUGAGCAACAGGGGCGUGAUCACUAGGGGCGUGACCAUCGCGGGGGCGGGACGGUGACGCGCUUCGACGCGCGAUCCCGGAAGCGGUGUCAGUACUGGGGAGCCGGCGGCGGGCGGCGGGUGGCCGGGACUUGUUGUUCUUUGCCGAGUCGGAACGAGUAGUCCGAAGCGCGCAGGCGGAGACGGCGACUGAGGGGAGCGCGAGAGCAGAAGCGCGCGUGAAGAGUGCGUGUCUACAGGAGCCGCCGCGCCCGGCCCCGCGCGCGACCCGGCUACGAUUUCCUGGUGGUUCCGUCCUGGUGACAGGGCCCGGGUUAUGACGACUAAUCCCAAGCCCAACAAGACAUUGAAGGUCAAGAAGGAGGCGGGCGAGAACGCCCCUGUUCUUAGCGACGAUGAGCUGGUGUCCAUGUCGGUGCGGGAGCUGAACCAGCACCUGCGGGGGCUCACCAAGGAGGAGGUAACUCGGCUGAAGCAGCGGCGGCGCACACUCAAGAACCGAGGCUACGCCGCCAGCUGUCGCAUCAAGCGCGUGACACAGAAGGAGGAGCUGGAGCGGCAGCGGGUGGAGCUGCAGCAGGAGGUAGAGAAGCUGGCUCGUGAGAACAGCAGCAUGCGUCUGGAGCUGGAUGCCCUGCGCUCCAAGUACGAGGCCCUGCAGACCUUCGCACGCACCGUGGCCCGAGGGCCUGUCACACCCACCAAGGUGGCCACCACCAGUGUCAUCACCAUCGUCAAAUCCGCAGAGCUCUCCUCCACCUCUGUGCCCUUCUCAGCGGCCUCCUAGUGUCUGCUGGGGCCGGGCAGGGUGCGGGCAGUGGCACAGCCCUCAUGCCUAUCCCAGGCUCCCUGGUACAGAUUCCUCAUGUCUACCUGCCCACUGUGGACCCUGCAGGGCUGAGGGCAGGGACGGCAGGGACAGGCAGAUGCAGGAUAAAAGGGAAGCUCUCAUGAGCCAGUGCCACAAGCAACCCCCACUCACAUCUCUCCUUCCCCUGGGGGUACGUCUCUAGGAGCUGACAGGAACCACACGGGCAACCGCGAUGAACAACUCUAGGCCUCUGUGGCAGAGUGUGAGGACUCAGUCUUCCACUUCUCCGGUGCCUGCUUAUCAGCGUCAUCGGUGCCGUCCCCUCUAAGGGCCUCCAGCUGGGUUGGACACCAUCUGUCUGUCACUUCUGGGCUCUGGCCUUCCUGUCCUUACUAAAGGGCGCUACAACCUGCUUUAGCCCUUAGGUAGAGCCAGGCCCAUGUCCUGGGAAACAGUUCCUGAUAUAGCCACUUGCAGGGGCUAAUGUAUGUGUUCCUGUGUGUACACAGGCUACCAUCACAGCCUGUGAAGACCGGAAACUGCUGGCCAAGUGGGAGAGCCUGGCCGGUAUGUGUGCUGAGGGUUACACAAGUGUCAUGGAGUGUCCCUGGAAGUCUGGUAGGCUGCACCCCAUUGUGGUGCAGGGGCCACCUGUCCACAGAGCCAGCAAACAGCCAGGCUCGGGUUCUCUGGGCCUUAGCAGAGGGGAGAGGCUGGAGAGGAGCAGGGGAAGCCUGAGAGAUGCUAAGGGGUAUGUCGGUGGCGUGUGUGUGUUGUUGCGGAAAGAACAGGAAUGAAGUAGACAGGGAUAGUGUGGAAGCCGAGGUCCAGGGGAUGUGGAAGAGGCCGAGAGGAAUACUGUGGAGGGACAGAGACGACUUCUGGAGGGCCUUAUGCACAUAGCCAUUGUGGGCAGGUCGGCAAGGACCCCAGGCAGACUAUAGGUCACAAAUACUCUGCAACUUUGGUGUCCAAUUGUUACCUGCCUUUUCCUCCUUCAUAGCACUCUGGGGCCACUGGCCAUCUUGGUUUUUUUUAACUGAAGGAAUUGUGUCCUCCAGAUCCUGGGGAAUAUGGUGGACAGGGAGUCAGGGGCAGGCUGAACUACAGCCAGGCACUUAGAAAGCACUGUUGGAACCAUAGCCUUGGUAGGUAAUCCAUAUUGGAUAUCAAUAAGGACCAUGGAUAUUUAAAGAGAGAAGAUAUAUAUAUAUAUAUAAUUAUACACACAUUUUAUCGUACAGAUUUUUCAUAACAAUUUUCUUUCCCAGUUUGAUACUGUAGAUCUUUAUUAAUGCAGAGUAGGUUGGACAGUGGGGUGGGGAACGGAGGCCCAGGGUGCCAACAGCCUCCCUCAGUCUUUCUGUGGUGGUGCUGGCAGGCCGGGUCACUGGAUGAGUGGUCUCCAGGGUAGGCAGGUGACCACUGACUGGCUUGCUGCCCGCUCCUGGCCUCUGGUGGUCCUCCUGGGUGGAGGCCCCAUACUCUUGGCGGCCAGGGGAGACAGGGCUGUCAGUACCACUGGAGCACCUGCAGAGGACACCUGCCAGGAGGGGGCUGGGAAGGGUGUGAGCAUGCCCCAUGGCUUCGUGUCACUGAAAUUUCAUUGUCACAACUUAAUAAUAUAUGGAUGUUUUUAUUUAAAGAUAAAAGUGAGUUUUCUGUCUUGUUCCUCUGACUUCUUAAAGCAAGCUUUAACUAUUUCAAAAGGUGUCAGGGACACAUGCCGAUCAUGCCGAGGCCUGGCAUCCUCAGCCGCCUGCCACUUGGCAAUUUCAUUUCAAUAUUUAUUUUUUUUUUGUGCUUUUUUUCCCCCAUGUUAUAAAUUAUUGAGAAGAGAUCAAGAUCACAGACUGUUGGCCCCGUCUGCACCCUGCCUCAUGGCCACCACCUAAUUUAUUGCUGUACAUGUCGCCGUGACUGCUUUUGUAUCUUUGCAAUAAAGAAUUUCCUGUUUGAGAUGCCUCGGGUGUGUGGAUGGUGAUGUGGUUGGGAACCAUGCAUCCUGCCUGCAGCCUGGGCUGGCCCUUCCCCAGGCCUAGCUUCCUACUCUGUACACCCGGGCCCUCCCCUGGGAGUCGGGUCACAAUCCCAGGCUGGUCUCCUAAGAUGUAGGGACUAUGACAAGGUGACACCUUCCACCUGCACUCCUAGAUCAUCUGCAGAUGGCGUCCCUCGGUAUCCGGGAUAUGCUGACCAAAAAAGGCCUCUGAUUGCCAGGGCAACUUGUAGGAGCCUCAGGGAUCUGAGCCGUCCUUGUAGGGUGGGCCAUGUCACUGCUUGGCCUCUGGUCCCUAAGUGGUGCUGGGUAGUGUCUCAGGUGAACAUAAAGGACAUUGCUAGAGGGCCAGGCACAGAGCAAUCAAUGCUUCAGCUCAGUGACACUAACAAUGCUCUAAGGACUCUGACUAGAGCUGAGGAUGGCUCAGUUGGUAAAGUGCUUACCUUGCAAGCAUGAGGACCUGGGUUCAAUCCCUAAAAAGGCGGGUACAUAUUUGUAAUCCCAGUGUUGUAGGAGCAGAAAUAAGUAGAUCUUUGGUACUCACGGGCCAGCUGGCCUAGCCUACUUGAUGAGUUUCAAGACAGAAACAGUCUCUAGCUAGGCCAGAUUUCUCUACAACUGACUCCAGAAUCCCCUGUCCCCAGCCUAUAGCCUACUUCUGUCCCUGGGUGGUGACUAGCCUCUGGGUAGACGGACUAUAAAGAAGGUCUUGUCUAUCCGUGUUGCAUGCCUGCCCCAGGUCUAGGCAGUACAGUGGUCAGGACAAGUUCAAGAUGGCAGGAUUCGUUCAUGGUUCCUCAUGCCUGUAAAUCCCAGUACUUAGGAGGAUGAAAUGGCCAGAUCAUUCCCAAGUCCAAGGAUACCCUUGACUACAUAGUUUGAGGUCAGCCUUGGCUACAUAGUGAGUCCGGGCCAGCCUGAGCUACAAAGAUACUAUCUCAAGGAGUAUCUUCGAAAUUGUAGUGCUCAGUUUCCACACUCUCCAUGUAAGUGUUGAGGACCUGUGUUUGGAUCCCAACACCGACAUAAUCCCAGCAAUUUUAGGGGUAAAAGCAGAUCCUUGAGGCUCACUGGCCAGCAAGCAGAACCAAAUUGGUGAAGCUCUACGGUUCAGUAAGAAACCCCGUCUCAAAAACUUGCACACAUGCAUACACACCUGCACACGAAAUGGCAGAAGGUUGUGUCAGGGCACAGCCCCUCCUCAGACCCCCAUGGGCUUGACUUACCCAUUUCCUGGUGAUGAUGAGACUGAAGCCCCGUUCCCCUCCCUGGUACUCCAGUCACAUGCCACCAUUUUUUUGAACAGUCUGACAGGGCUAGAUCCUGAAUCAGUCUGUAGCCACCAGAGCCCUGGGGGCCAUGUCAUGCCUAGCUCAGCUUUACUUUGUAACAUGUUCAUCUGAAGCACCUCUGAAUGCAGGUGGUGGGGGAGAGGGAAGCAAGGUACAGUGACCCCUUCUGGCAUCAUCCCCUAAUGGCUCAGUAACCUUGGGCAACUUGUUUAAUUUCUUUGGUUAGCACAGCUUCCCCAGGGCCAGGGUACAGAAGUUCCUGGUGCAUGUGUGGGUAUUUAGUGAUGCCAACUGACUGUCCAGGGCCCUACUUUGUAUCUGGGCUUGUGGGAGAGGAACCUGUCUAGCUUGUUCAUGGCCACAUAGCCUCUCCAGGGCAGAGGAAGGCAGCCCCCUGCUGGCCAAGCUGUAAGAUUCCUCAUAUUUGAAGGCCAGCGGGCAGGCACAGAGCCUGCCAUGGGCUCAAGAGUGAAGGUCUUUGGGAGUACAGAGCCCCUCCCAGCCCUGCUGACUGUGUGGGCUGAGGGCCACCCUCUGUGCCUGCCAGUCCCAGAAGGCAGAUAAGUAGGUGUGGGUGGCUUUUUACAGGCAGGUGCAGGAAGGAAUAGAGUCUAUCUUAUCAGCCCAGAAGGGUCAGGGAGAAGCCAAUGGCCUUGACUCCUCCUAUCUCUGGGCCCUGAGAAUAAGAAGGCAGGGAAACACCCCCUCCACCCCCUUUGUCUGAUAUUCCUACAGGCUGUGGGAACUGACAACUAGGCAAGGGAUACUGUUCCUGGGUGGGUGGCGUUUCUGUCUAGCUGCUUGCCUGGUCUGCCUUUGUCCCCUGUGUUUCUAAGGCCAGUCUAGCUAGGGAUACUGAGCCUAUCUCAGACUUCCUGGGCACUGGAUCUGGUAUACAGGAAGAGGCAAGAGAGAAGGCGGGCUCGAAGGCUUGAGUCCGUGUACGGGGCACGCUAGGUUGUGCCAUGGACUCAUAAACCACUUUAGGGUGGGGCCAACCUGAAGUUCAGGGAGUCACCUGACUGCCCCAGCUCCCAUUGUGUC